AUGUUUCCUAGAAAAGCACCUAACUUAGAUAUUGUAAUGUGUGUGUGUAUAAGAGAGUAUUUAAAGAGGGGAGAGGCUUUACCAACCGCAGUGAUUCUGAAUAAAGUGUCUCAGUUCUUCUUGCAGUUUGUGUGCUGUUUGACUUCAUCAUGCAGCAAAUCUACACACAGAGCCAUGAAGAGUUUGAGGUGUUCACCACUGUUCUGUCGCCUCAAGGUGGUUGUGACGGCAGACUACAGUGCAGACUGUGAUGAAGAGCUGAGUGUCCGUGCCGGUGAGGUAGUGUUGCUUCUGUAUCAGGAGAAUGCUGACUGGUGUUACGUCCAACUUCAGAACGGAAAGGAAGGAUAUGUUCCCACAGCCUGCUUCAUUACGAAGCAGGAGCCACUGAGGCCCAUUGUGACUCAGACAUCGCAAAACUUCACGCAAGCGUUGUCUAAUGAUCGGAGUGGCUGUUCUGGAGGGCACUCUCUGAAACUGCCGCGGCGAGCGUCUCUGUCAGGAGUGCCGGGUUCACCUCGAUUGCUUCAGCGACUGCUCUCUCGUCGAUGUAGUGAUGGACAUGCUGUACGUUCGAUCGGCUCCAUCAAUCCUGCGUUUCAUCCUGACUGAUGGAUCUAACUCUAGAGCUCCACCUUUCUCUUCUAAAUGGGUCACAGAAGAGCAGAAACUAGGACAGUAUGACACCAAAGUUCAGUCUGUAUGCAACUCCUUCAGAUUUGGAGAGAAAACAGAAGUUCAGUGUCCUGAUUAGAGUUUGGGGCCUCAGUAACUUCAUAGCCAGUUUGUGGCACUGAGCCUGCAACUGGUAUCAGGAAUCUUUACUAUUACUGCCCUAUGUAAAUAUGUAAAUAUUGUGAUUUUGAUUGGAAAUAUCACACUUUUCGCCUAUGAACGUAUUUGUUUGACUAAUAAUGCAGAAAGACUACAAUGAGAAAUUGUUGUUAGUUUAUAAAUGUGUGUGUGUGUGUGUAUAAAAGGCUAGUGUUGCCAAUCUACUAAAGAGUCUUAUAUAAGUUGAUUACCAGAGAAAGUUAUUUUGAUGUAUUACAAUUUAUAAAAACACAGAAAAAAUGUGCUUACAGAAAGCCAUUUACAGUGGAAGUACUAUAGAAUAUUAUGGAGUGUGCCCUACAUUUAGAUUUCCAUUUUAAGAACAACAAUUUUUUUUUGGUUUUAUUUGACCCUGAAUGUUUUAUAAUUCUGCAUAUUACAUAAAAAUAAUACAUCAAUGUAAUUUCAACCACACCUCAGAUCAUAACAUACCACAAGGUAUCUAAAAAAAACUAUUAAUAUUGUUUAUUUAUAUUUUUCCAAGUUUGUAAUUUUUUAUGGUAUGUAUACUUAAAAUUGUGGGGUUUACCCUUAUUUUUUAUGGGUUUUUUUAUCUUGUAUUUAGAGGACAUUGGCAUACAGCUGGAUGCUGCAAAAUUUUUAUGAAAUGAAUUGUCAAUUUGGUAAUUCACAGUCUGAUUAUAAUCAUCAUCACUUCAUCAAGCUGAACUAGGAGAAAAAUAGCAACACUAAUUUAGUAAUGCAGUACAAUUAGGUUCAAUUUGUGAAUGCAUUAUAUUUUAUGAACUAACAAUGAACAAUUUUUUACAGAAUUUACUGUAGUUAAUAUCAAUACAUGUACUAUUUACUUUAUAUUCAUUCGUAAAACAUGUUAAAUUUAUUUUUACAACCAAAAACAUAAAAAAUGUAUUAGUAUACUAUUAGUAUAUUUUUUAAGUAAUUACUUCUAUGAAGCAAGCAUUCGUUAAAUUGAUCAAAAUGUCAGUAAAGGCAUUUAUAAUGUUCCAAAACAUUUAUGUCAAGUAAAUGCUGUUAAAUUAAUUUUGUUCAUUAAAGAAUCUUGAUUUAUUAUUAUUUAUUUAUUUUUACAUUAAUUGGCGUAACUCUUUUCAACAGUGAUAAGAAAUGUUUCUUGACCACCACAUCAUCAACAUAAAAACAUUAUUUCUGAAAGAUCAUGUGACUCUGAAGACUUGAGUAAUUAUGCUUAAAAUAUAGGGUAUAAUAAGUUACAUUUUAAUGUAUUUCAGUAGAGAAGGUAUUUAAAAUUUAAUAUCAAAAUAUUAUGUUUUUUACUAAAUAUUUGAUAAAAAAUACAGCCUUGGGGAGCAAAGACUUAAAAAAAAAACAGUCUUACAAACCCCAAUUUUUUUUAUUUAACAUCACUCAAGAUAGAAAGCAUUGUUAAUUAUUUCAUAUUAGCAUGGGAUUAAAUGUUAAUAUAAAAACUUAUAGGCCUAGUAGUAUUACAACUAAUUCACAUUGAUGUGGUCCAUUAGUGACCUAUUAGAGAUAAUAGAAAACUGCAUUAGAAAGUGAUUCAGAAACCGUGAUCACAUUGUUUCAUACAGAUGGAAUAACUUUAUUGUUGUUAGACUGAAAAGUAACCAAGCAUGCAAACAGCAGAUUCCUCAGCUGCGUAGAAUCAUCCAACUGUUUUAUUGAAAACAGAGGAGAAACAAUCCAGAAGGGAAAAAAACAGAUUCAAUAUCUGUACAGAUCAAAGUAUAAUACAAUAUAUACCACUAUUGUACACUGGAAUACAAUAUAUCAGGAGGGCAGCAGUCGCAGAGAAACAACCUGCGCUUGAGUCUGUUACAUGAAGCAGUAAAACAUUUCUUUUGUGCUGCUCUUUACAUCAACAAUAUCAAUUAUGUUCAAGAGCUAAUAAACACGCCCACACAGAAAAGUGCUCUGAUAUA
ensembl:lncRNA